AGAGUUUGAUCCUGGCUCAGAAUCAACGCUGGCGGCGUGCCUAACACAUGCAAGUCGAACGAGAAAGGGGAGCAAUCCCUGAGUAAAGUGGCGACCGGGUGAGUAACACGUGACUAACCUACCUUCGAGUGGGGGAUAACCUCGGGAAACCGGGGCUAAUACCGCAUAAUGCCUUCGGGUUAAAGGAGCAAUUCGCUUGAAGAGGGGGUCGCGGCUGAUUAGCUAGUUGGCGGGGUAACGGCCCACCAAGGCGAUGAUCGGUAGCCGGCCUGAGAGGGCGCACGGCCACACUGGAACUGAAACACGGUCCAGACUCCUACGGGAGGCAGCAGUGGGGAAUUUUGCGCAAUGGGGGAAACCCUGACGCAGCAACGCCGCGUGGAGGAUGAAGUCCUUUGGGACGUAAACUCCUUUCGACCGGGACGAUUAUGACGGUACCGGUGGAAGAAGCCCCGGCUAACUUCGUGCCAGCAGCCGCGGUAAUACGAGGGGGGCGAGCGUUGUUCGGAAUUAUUGGGCGUAAAGGGCGCGUAGGCGGUGCGGUAAGUCACCUGUGAAACCUCUGGGCUUAACUCAGAGCCUGCAGGCGAAACUGCCGUGCUGGAGUGUGGGAGAGGUGCGUGGAAUUCCCGGUGUAGCGGUGAAAUGCGUAGAUAUCGUAAGGAAGACCGUGGCGAAGGCGGGUCUCUGGACAGUUCCUGACGCUGAGGCACGAAGGUCAGGGGAGCAAACGGGAUUAGAUACCCUAGUAGUCC
rnacentral:rRNA from 1 species